rnacentral:rRNA from 1 species
GGUGAAGUUCGGGCCAGCAUCGUCGGGAAUACGAAGAGGGGGAGCGGUGUUGUGAAGGACUGGGCGGAAAGGGCGCGCAGGCGGCGCCACAAGUCAGGCGUGAAAGCCCCGGGGUUAACCUGGGAAUUGCGCUUGGGACUGUGGUGCUUGAGUACGGGAGAGGAGAGUGGAAUUCCCAGUGUAGAGGUGAAAUUCGUAGAUAUUGGGAAGAACACCGGUGGCGAAGGCGGCUCUCUGGACCGUAACUGACGCUGAGGCGCGAAAGCGUGGGGAGCAAACAGGAUUAGAUACCCAGUAGUC